rnacentral:rRNA from 1 species
AGAGUUUGAUCCUGGCUCAGGAUGAACGCUGGCGGCGUGCUUAAUACAUGCAAGUCGAACGAAUGGAUGUCUAGCUUGCUAGACUGAAGUUAGUGGCGAACGGGUGAGUAAUACAUAGGCAAUCUGCCCUGAAGUGUGGGAUAGCUAUUGGAAACGAUAAUUAAUACCGCAUAGGUAGUAAGAAGGCAUCUUCCUACUAUUAAAGAUGCGUUUGCAUCGCUGCAGGAUGAGCUUAUGGUGUAUUAGCUAGUUGGUGAGAUAAAAGCCCACCAAGGCUAUGAUACAUAGCUGGUCUGAGAGGAUGAACAGCCACAUUGGGACUGAGACACGGCCCAGACUCCUACGGGAGGCAGCAGUAAGGAAUUUUCGGCAAUGGGGGCAACCCUGACCGAGCAACGCCGCGUGAGUGAUGAAGGUCUUCGGAUCGUAAAACUCUGUUGUAAAGGAAGAAUGUCAUAUAUAGGAAAUGAUAUAUGAGUGACGGUACUUUACUAGAAAGUCACGGCUUACUACGUGCCAGCAGCCGCGGUAAUACGUAGGUGGCAAGCGUUAUCCGGAUUUAUUGGGCGUAAAGGGUGCGCAGGCGGUCUGUUAAGUUUGGUGUGAAAGCGUGGGGCUCAACCCCAUACAGCAUCGAAUACUGGCAGACUAGAGUGCAGAAGAGGGUAAUGGAACUCCAUGUGUAGCGGUAAAAUGCGUAGAUAUAUGGAAGAACACCAGCGGCGAAGGCGGUUACCUGGUCUGUAACUGACGCUCAGGCACGAAAGCGUGGGGAGCAAAUAGGCUUAGAUACCCUAGUAGUCC